rnacentral:rRNA from 1 species
GACGAACGCUGGCGGCGCGCUUAACACAUGCAAGUCGAACGGAAAGGCCUGCUUUCCCUUGUGGAUUGCGGGUACUCGAGUGGCGAACGGGUGAGUAACACGUGAGUGAUCUGCCCCCAACUUGGGUAUAAGCCUGGGAAACUGGGUCUAAUUCCCGAUAGGACUGCAGGGUGGUGCCUGUGGUGGAAAACGAUUUUCUAGUGGUUGGGGAUGAGCUCGCGACCUAUCAGCUUGUUGGUGGGGUAAUGGCCUACCAAGGCGGCGACGGGUAGCCGGCCUGGGAGGGUGGACGGCCACAUUGGGACUGGGAUACGGCCCAGACUCCUACGGGAGGCAGCAGUGGGGAAUAUUGCACAAUGGGCGGAAGCCUGAUGCAGCGACGCCGCGUGGGGGAUGACGGCCUUCGGGUUGUAAACUCCUUUCGACCGCGAGGAAGCCACCUGGUUGGAAGGGUGGUGACGGUAGUGGUAGAAGAAGCACCGGCUAACUACGUG